ensembl:lncRNA
GACCUGUUCCCCUUGGCUCCUCCUGGGGGCGCUAUAACAGAAGUUAACCAACAACAUCAAUCUGAAACAUGGACUCAGCUCUGCUCCCUCCUCAGACUCCGCCUGCCGCCUCCCAUUGGUCCUCCUUUCCUCCCUCUUCCCUUUUUAACCUAAAGGGGAAAACAACACAAAUAGAAAAACAACACAAAAAAAAGUAACCAUUAUAUCUGAAAGACGUAAGAGAUGUACAAAUGAAAUAAAAGGACAGCUGAACAAUAUGUUAAAAGGGUUAUCUGGGUUAUCAGGGAGACACACCCCCUGAGGUCAGGGAGCCACGCCCCCUGAGGUCAGGGAGCCACGCCCCCUGAGGUCAGGGAGCCACGCCCCCUGAGGUCAGGGAGACACGCCCCCUGAGGUCAGGGAGACACACCCCCUGAGGUCAGGGAGCCACGCCCCCAGAGGUCAGGGAGACACACCCCCUGAGGUCAGGGAGCCACGCCCCCUGAGGUCAGGGAGAUACUCCCCCUUAGGUCAGGGAGCCACGCCCCCUGAGGUCAGUGACCGUCUGCAAUGUCCACCGUAUCUGUUAGAGCCAGAGAGAGAGAGAGAGAGAGAGAGAGAGAGAGACAGAGACAGAGACAGAGAGAGAGAGAGAGAGAGAGAGAGAGACAGAGACAGAGACAGAGAGAGAGACAUUAAAAACAGACCCACUCAGCGUCGUGAGCCACUACUCACCGCAGCCCUACCAGAGGGCCGAUGGCAGCGCGUUGCAGCAGACCUCUGAACACUAGAAAAGCAGAAUUACCUCGUGGUAACGGACUAUUACUCAAGGGACCUCGAAAUUGCUCACCUCUCUCCAACGUCCCGCAUACAAGUCAUCAACAGGCUCAAAGCAGGCUCAAUGUUCCUGAGAUGGGGGAUACCACUCCAACCGGUGAGUGACAACAUUCACAUCCGGUGAGGUCAAAGACUUUAGUGAGAAGUCUGGUUCUGCCCCUACUACAACUAGCCCUCAC